rnacentral:lncRNA from 1 species
AUCUAUUAAAUUUCGUCAAAGAAAUUAGAGGGUAAAAAAGGGCUCUGCAACUGCAAAUUCAAGAUGGUUCGUUUGCUUUCCGUGUUCAACAACUCAAAUCACAAUGCUUCAGUUUGUUGUGCCAUCAAACUGAAAAGGGAUCGGCUUUUAAAGAUGAAGGUGUUUUUAUCGACACAGUUAUUGAUGACUCGGGAGAUAAGUGGAAUGGUCUUCAACUGAAGUGUAAGUUUCAGGAUGUUUUUAGAAGUAUAUAUAUUUGGGAUGACAAUUGGAAUUUGAAGUUCACAGAAAUAACUUCUGGUGCGGAGUAUAUAUUCAAGAUAAAUCAUUUACGAGGUAUUAUCAGAUUGGUUAUAGAAGAUGACGGUAUUAUACUUCUCAAUGAUGAUGAUGGUGCAAUUUCAAUCUAUCCGCGUGAAGAAAAUUAUAGGUUUUAUAAGAUGUUUUUGAUAGGUUGAUAAAUGGGUUGAUAAAUGUGUUGACAUGUCACAUUGUAAUUGGGUGUUGUAUAGAAAUAGUUAGAAGUGUUGGUUCUGCUAUAAGCUAUAUAUACCACUGUGUAGUGUAAUUAUGAUUAUCAUCUAAUGAAAAGAAUAUUCAGUCUCUCUCUCUAGUUUGUUAACUUUCUCAUUCUACAAUUACUUUUUGUAAAUCUCCAUUGUUGACAUGGUAUCAUCGCCAAUCAUGGCCACCGCCAUCGAUUGACAACCUGGUUGCUUCCGCUCGUCUUCUUGCUUUCAUUGUCAUUCCGUGCUGCUUUGUCGGUGGUUUUUUUAUUAAGGUCGGUCGCUGUUGUGAUUGCAGUCGGUGGUGUUCGAUCGAAGUCGAUGCUCAAACCCUAAGAUUUGGGGUUUUUUGGUGCACAAUUGUGUGUAUGCUUCUGCGCUCGUUGUAGUUGCUUGCAAGGUGUUUCUUCUUCUUUCUUACAUCUGUUAUUUGGGAUACUUCACUUUCUGAAUCGAUUUGGUAGUUGUACCUUGUUCAAUUUCUUGUGCCUUGUUUGCAAUAUUGUUCUUAUGCGAAGAUUUGAGGGUUUUAUUACUGUUUGUUGCUAUGUGUGUUGUACAAUUUCAAAGUUUUGUUUGUAGUGGAGCACUCUUGAUUGUACACAAUGGUGAACCCGAAUCAGUUGGCUCUUACUCAAUCACCAAUUUCUUCAUUGAUUCCAAGUGUGGGUAACACUGUGACAAUGAAAUUAGAUGAAUCUAACUAUGUUACCUGGAAUUUCCAAAUGGAUCUUCUUUUGGAAGGGAAUGAUAUUAUUGGUUUUAUUGAUGGAUCAAUUUCCUGCCCUAAGAAGUUUGAGAUUGAUAAAUCUGUGGAUGGUGCUGUUGACACUACUGAGGUCAUCUCUGAUGCGUACAAAAUAUGGAAGAUCCAUGAUAAAGCUCUUAUGACUCUUAUUGCUGCCACUUUAUCUACUUCUGCAUUGUCCUGCAUCAUUGGUUCUCAAAGUGCUAAGGAAAUGUGGGACAAUCUCCGUGAACAGCUUUGCUAGUGUUACUCGUACUAGCAUUGUGCAGAUGAAAAUUGAUUUGCAGAAUAUUCAAAAAUGGCCUGAGUCCAUUAAUCAAUACCUUCAGCGGAUCAAUGAUUCUAGAGAUCAAUUGGCUGCUGUUGGAGUUACUAUUUCUGAUUAAGACAUUGUUAUUGUGGCUUUACGGGGUUUGCCAUCUGAAUACAACAUUAUCAAAGCUGUCAUUCAUGGCAAGGAAAAUUUGGUGUCUUUAAAAGAACUUAGGUCCCAAUUAAAGGCUAAAGAAUCUACACUGGCUGAAGUUCACAAGCAAAUCCUUUUAAUGUCUGCUAUGUAUGUUCAGGGUGCUCGAGCUACAUAUGAUCCAGGCCAGUCUUCGAGUCAUGCUAUAUUACAAGAUGAGACUUUUUUGAAUCAUUCCCAGAUGUCUACGUCUGGUUUUUCACAUGUGCCUAUGCCUAACUAUUCACAACCAGUGCCUGUUUUGAUGCUUAUGCCUGGUUAUUUCCCGUGUGCUUUUCCCUCUCAAUACGCUUCUGGUUCCUUUAACAACUUCAGAGGUACUAAUACUUUCAAGUCCAAAGGCAAAGGCAAACGUUUUUCCUCGGGUUCUCAGUCUUCCUCACAGUCUCUGUAUAGUGCAAAUAAUUCUUAUAACGUUUUCCCUGCUCCAUUUCAUUCAGGUUCAGCCUAUAAUCCUUCUCAAAUUUGUCAAAUUUGCAAUAAGAAAUGUCAUUCUGCUCUCAAUUGCUUCCAAAAUGGGUGUCAAAUAUGUCACGGGAAAGGACAUACUGCAGCUACUUGUUUUGACAAGAAUGCUCCUCCACAAUUUCAUAUGACUGGUUCUUCCUCUCAUCAGAUGAAUGUUCAUCCAUCUUCUCAAUUUGCUUUUGUUGGUGCUCCACCUGGCUAUUAUUCCCGUGGACCUCAAGUUUAACAACCUGCUUCACAUCAAGCUUCUCAGCCUGUAGCUAUGCAAGCCAGGGCCAACUUGACUCCAAGUGCACCUCAUUAAGAUUUUUGGCUGCUUGAUUUAGGUGCAACCAACCAUAUGACUUCAGAUAUUGCUAAUCUUCAAGCUGCAGUCCCUUAUCCAUCAACUGAGACAGUCACGGGUGCUGGUGGUGAAGGUUUAAGUAUUGCUCAUAUUGGCAACAUUGUAUUUCCCACCAAAUCACAUACUUUUCAGCUUAAUUUUGUGUUACAUGUUCCGCAACUGUUCAAGAUUUACUCUCCAUGUAUCAAUUAUGUAAAGAUAAAACAUGUCUCUGUAUUGUUGAUGAGUUCUCUAUUUGUAUAUAGGACAAUGUUACAAGGCAAGUGUUGUAUCAAGGACUGAGUAACAAUGUAGUAUAUCCAAUUCCAGUUUUCAAGUCUUCCAGAUCACCCGUGCUUACUCCAGCUGCAUUUUUGGGUCAAAAGGUGUCCUCUGAUCUUUGGCAUUGUAGAUUAGGACAUCCUUCCAGUGCUAUUACCACUGCAGCCUUUAGGAAUUCAUCCAUUUCUGUUCCCUGUAAUAAAGAUUCAAUUACCUGUAUUUCUUGCUUGCAAGGUAAGUUUUCCAAAUUACCUUUCCCUGAUGUUGCUUCCAAAUCUAUGUUUCAUUUUGAAGUAAUACAUUCAGAUGUGUGGGAUCCUGCUCCAGUUGAGUUUUCAGAGGGGUUUCGGUAUUAUGUGUCCUUUGUGGAUGAAUGUACUAGAUAUACAUGGGUUUUCCCUAUUAUCAAUAAAUCUGCAUUUCUAUCUAUUUUUGCUCAAUUUGUUGCCUAUGUUCAAACUCAGUUUCAUGCUACUGUUAAAACACUUUAGAGUAAUAGUGGGGGUGAGUAUGUGGGUUUAGCUUUUAAAGCAUUUCUUAGAGAUAAGGGUAUUGUUCAUCAAAUGUCUUGUCCUUAUACCCCAGAACAAAAUGGGUUGACUGAGAGAAAAAAAUAGGCAUUUGUUGGAAACUGCUAUUACUUUACUUCAAAAAGCAUCCAUGUCUUCUUAUUUUUGGUUUCAUGCUUGUGCUACAGCUUCAUAUCUCAUUAAUAGGAUGCCCACACCUGUUCUUCAUAUGAAAUCUCCCUUUGAACUUCUGUUUAAGUCUGCACCAAAGCUUGAUCACUUGAGAGUUUUUUGUUGUGCGUGUUUUCCUUCCUUGCGACCUUAUCGGAACAACAAGUUAGAUCCCAAAACUUCAGAGUGUAUAUUUUUUUGGGUAUGCUUCACAAUACAAGGGUUAUAUUUGUUUUUAUCUCAGUACUUACAAACUCCUUGUGUGUAGACACAUCAUAUUUGAUGAACAAAGCUUUCCCAGCAUCAGAUUAUCAUCUUAUUCAGCUCCUAACAAUGCACCAUCUUCUACUUCUAAUCCUGUUAUUCAUCCUAAUACUUUUACACAUCCUUUAGUCAUACCUAUCCCUCUACCUCAAGUGUCACCAUUCUUAGGUUCUGGAGCUUCAACACCUGCUAUUACUCAGUCCAAUUCUGCAUCAACAUACAACACUGGUGACCUUGUCUCUCAUGGAUCAGCUGCCCAGUAUUCUCAUUUUGGAACUGAUGCUUUUCUAGAACUACAUCCUGACACUACAUCUUCUCAAGUUGAUACACUGCAAUCUGUCACAGUUUCCACACUUAACAGUCAUCCUAUGCAAACUAGAUCAAAAUUUGGUAUUGUGAAGAAGAAAGCUUUUUCAGCCACAGUUGGUGCUGAUAUUCCUCUCACAGAACUUACAACUUAUUCAGCAGCUUCCAAGUCUGUGGAAUGGCAGGCUGCCAUGAACGAAGAAAUGCAAGCCUUAGUUCAACAACAAACCUGGAAACUUGUUCCUCUUCCUCCCAACAAGAACCUUGUAAGCUACAAGUGGAUCUAUAAAAUCAAAAAGAAUUAUGAUGGUUCUAUCACUCGGUAUAAGGCUAGGUUUGUUGCCAAAGGGUUCUCACAGGAAGCUGGAUUGGACUAUUAUGAAACGUUUAGUCCUGUGGUCAAACCUACAACUGUGAGGUUAGUGUUGUCCUUGGCUGCUACAAAUGGUUGGAAACUGAAACAGUUGGAUGUUUAGAAUGCCUUUCUUCAUAGCUUUCUUGAUGAAGUGGUGUACAUGUCCCAACCACAAGGUUUCCUGGAUCCAAUACAUCCUAAGUAUGUGUGUAAGUUGGAAAGGUCUCUAUAUGGCCUUAAACAGGCUCCUAGAGCAUGGAAUGACAGAUUUUCCAAGUUCUUACUUUCGUUAGGAUUCAAGCCAUCUUAUGCAAAUUCUUCUCUUUUUGUUCAACAUGUUGGCAGUGAGGUAGUCAUCCUUCUACUUUAUGUUGAUGAUAUUAUACUCACAGGCAGUAAUGAUAAAUUGGUACAAUCUGUGAUAACUCAACUUACCAAGGAGUUUGAUAUGAAGGAUUUAGGUCUUCUGCAUUUCUUUCUUGGUCUGCAAAUUAAGUUUGAUAUGAAGGAUUUAGGUCUUCUGCAUUUCUUUCUUGGUCUGCAGAUUGAGUAUCAAUCUCAAGGAUUGUUGGUUCAACAAACCAAGUAUAUCAAGGAACUUUUACAGAAAGCUAACAUGGUUGAUUGUAAGUCGUGUCUUACUUCGUGUCAUCCCAAUCAAAAGUUGUUGAAUCAUGGCAGCCUUCCUUUUUCAGAUCCAACUUACUAUCGAAGUCUUGUUGGUGCCUUGCAGUACUUAACGUUCACACGACCUGACAUAGCAUUCUCUGUUAAUCAGGUUUGUCAAUUUAUGCGUUCUCCUCUUGAACAACAUUUUGCAGCAGUACAGAGGAUUUUGCGGUAUCUUAAAGGUUCCAUACACUUAGGUUUGUGUUUUCGAUCUGGUCCUCUAUCUUUAAAAGCCUACACAUAUGCAAAUUAGGUUGGUGAUCCCAAUGACAGAAGGUCAACUACUAGUUUUGUUAUUUUUCUGGGUUCUAAUUCUGUUUCCUGGAGUUCUAAAAAGCAGUAUACGGUUAGUAGGUCUUCCACUGAGGCUGAGUAUAGGGCUAUGGCUACUACCACAGCUGAGGUUGUGUGGAUUCAACAACUACUCAAGGAUUUACUUGUUCACUUGCAACUAAUCCUGUCCUGCAUUCUAAGGCUAUGCAUAUAGAAAUUGACUGUCACUUCGUUCGUGAAAUGGUUCAACAAGGCUCUAUUGUGUUGCAGUUUGUGGCUUAUGCUGAUCAAUAUGCCGACAUCCUGACUAAAGGCUUAUGUUCUUCCCUGUUCAACUUUUUCUCUUCCAAUCUCAUGCUUGGCUGCUCCAAUCAUGGGAUUUAGGGGGGAUGUUAGGUUGAUAAAUGGGUUGAUAAAUGUGUUGACGUAUCACGUUGUAAUUGGGUGUUGUAUAGAAAUAGUUAGAAGUGUUGGUUCUGCUAUAAGCUAAAUAUACCACUGUGUAGUGUAAUUAUGAUUAUCAUCUAAUGAAAAGAAUAUUCAGUCUCUCUCUCUAGUUUGUUAACUUUCUCACUCUACAAUUACUUUCUGUAAAUCUCCAUUGUUGACAGUUUUUUUAUGAAGAUAAAUGGAUAGUUAAACCGUCGGACAAAUGAAGAGUCGCAAUGAAGAAGAAGUACGUACGUUGUAGGCCUCGUAGCUCCCUCCCUUUCUGGUGUAGUUGGCCUCUCUUCCAUGCAUCUUUCAUCUUCUGCUUUUGUCAGCCAGUUUUGGCUUAGUUUGAAUUUGCUUUCCUUCUUGUUUGUAUCGAAGCUAAGCUUCGGCUCUUUGUGUCGGUGCUUUCUUGGACUUACAAUUGUAUUUCAGCUUCGGUUUUAUUAAUAAAUAAAACAAAUAUUUGGAUAAAAGAAAUAUAGUUCGAAUGUGUUCCUUACGAAUUUACCAUUGUAUUAGGAGUAAUGGUAGG